AUUGAACGCUGGCGGCAGGCCUAACACAUGCAAGUCGAACGCGUGGCGCACGGGUGAGUAAUGUCUGGGAAACUGCCUGAUGGAGGGGGAUAACUACUUGACACGGUAGCUACUACCGCAUACCAUCGGAUGUGCCCAGAUGGGAUUAGCUAGUAGGUUGGGUAACGGCUCACCUAGGCGACGAUCCCUAGCUGGUCUGAGAGGAUGACCAGCCACACUGGAACUGAGACACGGUCCAGACGCCUACGGGAGGCAGCAGUGGGGAAUAUUGCACAAUGGGCGCAAGCCUGAUGCAGCCAUGCCGCGUGUAUGAAGAAGGCAUUAGGGUUGUAAAGGACUUUCAGCGGGGAGGCGUUACCCGCAGAAGAAGCACCGGCUAACUCCGUGCCAGCCGCCGCGGUAAUAC
rnacentral:rRNA from 1 species